GAGGUGGUACGAUAGCGGCAGUCUAGCGGUCCCCAGAACCGCCAGCGUGGGUUCAAAUCCUGCCCACCUCACCA
rnacentral:tRNA from 1 species